GACGAACGCUGGCGGCGUGCUUAACACAUGCAAGUCGAACGGAAAGGCCCUGCUUUUGUGGGGUGCUCGAGUGGCGAACGGGUGAGUAACACGUGAGUAACCUGCCCUUGACUUUGGGAUAACUUCAGGAAACUGGGGCUAAUACCGGAUAGGAGCUCCUGCUGCAUGGUGGGGGUUGGAAAGUUUCGGCGGUUGGGGAUGGACUCGCGGCUUAUCAGCUUGUUGGUGGGGUAGUGGCUUACCAAGGCUUUGACGGGUAGCCGGCCUGAGAGGGUGACCGGCCACAUGGGGACUGAGAUACGGCCAGACUCCUACGGGAGGCAGCAGUGGGGAAUAUUGCACAAUGGGCGGAAGCCUGAUGCAGCAACGCCGCGUGCGGGAUGACGGCCUUCGGGUUGUAAACCGCUUUCGCCUGUGACGAAGCGUGAGUGACGGUAAUGGGUAAAGAAGCACCGGCUAACUACGUG
rnacentral:rRNA from 1 species